AAUAUUAACAUAUGGCCAAGAAGUACAAGACCACCAAUUGAGCCACCUGAGAUUACUCCCAUGCCAAGAAGGCCAGGUAAAAAUAGAAAGAAAGCUAAGGAUGAAGCUGUUAAGAAGAAGUUUGGAAAGGCUACAAAAAAGGGAAGAAAGGUGACAUGUUCUGUGUGCAAAUGUAUUGGACACAAAAAGAAAGGAUGUCCAACUUUGGUAAGCUAAAUCUUUUC
rnacentral:lncRNA from 1 species